rnacentral:rRNA from 1 species
AUUGAACGCUGGCGGCAUGCCUUACACAUGCAAGUCGAACGGUAACAGGCUUCGGAUGCUGGCGAGUGGCGAACGGGUGAGUAAUACAUCGGAACGUGCCCGAUCGUGGGGGAUAACGGAGCGAAAGCUUUGCUAAUACCGCAUACGAUCCUACGGAUGAAAGCAGGGGACCGCAAGGCCUUGCGCGGACGGAGCGGCCGAUGGCAGAUUAGGUAGUUGGUGGGAUAAAAGCUUACCAAGCCGACGAUCUGUAGCUGGUCUGAGAGGACGACCAGCCACACUGGGACUGAGACACGGCCCAGACUCCUACGGGAGGCAGCAGUGGGGAAUUUUGGACAAUGGGCGCAAGCCUGAUCCCAGCCCAUGCCGCGUGCAGGAUGAAGGCCUUCGGGUUGUAAACUGCUUUUGUACGGAACGAAAAGACUCUUUCUAAUAAAGAGGGUCCAUGACGGUACCGUAAGAAUAAGCACCGGCUAACUACGUG